GCCGGGAUGGUGGAAUGGUAGACACAAGGGACUUAAAAUCCCUCGCCAGCUUAUACCGGCGUGCCGGUCCGAGUCCGGUUCCCGGCA
rnacentral:tRNA from 1 species